rnacentral:rRNA from 1 species
AGUCACUGACAUUAGAUACCCGUGUAGUCCAGGGUGUAAACGCUGCAGACUUGGUGUUGGGAACCCUUCGGGGGUGCUCAGUGCCGGAGAGAAGUUGUUAAGUCUGCUACUUGGGGAGUACGUCCGCAAGGAUGAAACUUAAAGGAAUUGGCGGGGGAGCACCGCAACGGGAGGAGCGUGCGGUUUAAUUGGAUUCAACGCCGGACAACUCACCAGGAGCGACGGUUACAUGAAGGCCAGGCUGAUGACCUUGCCUGAUUUUCCG